AGUGAACGCUGGCGGUAGGCCUAACACAUGCAAGUCGAACGGCAGCACAGUAAGAGCUUGCCCUUACGGGUGGCGAGUGGCGGACGGGUGAGGAAUACAUCGGAAUCUACUUUUUCGUGGGGGAUAACGUAGGGAAACUUACGCUAAUACCGCAUACGACCUACGGGUGAAAGCAGGGGAUCUUCGGACCUUGCGCGAUUGAAUGAGCCGAUGUUGGAUUAGCUAGUUGGCGGGGUAAAGGCCCACCGAGGCGACGAUCCGUAGCUGGUCUGAGAGGAUGAUCAGCCACACUGGAACUGAGACACGGUCCAGACUCCUACGGGAGGCAGCAGUGGGGAAUAUUGGACAAUGGGCGCAAGCCUGAUCCAGCCAUACCGCGUGGGUGAAGAAGGCCUUCGGGUUGUAAAGCCCUUUUGUUGGGAAAGAAAAGCAGCAGGUUAAUACCCCGCUGUUCUGACGGUACCCAAAGAAUAAGCACCGGCUAACUUCGUG
rnacentral:rRNA from 1 species